UACCACCCCACCACACACACACAAUACCUUUCACCCCACUCCAAAUGCCAGAACGAACACAAUCCGUGUGUUUGAACAUAAGGCAUCCAGGCUCAGGUUGAGGGAAAGCCAUGCAGCACACUGAUCACAUGCAGCAAGCUGAUCUUCUGCUGCAGUUUUUGUUUAAAACCUGAUUAUUUGUGCAGGCUGGAUUCUGAAACAUUUGGUUUGGAGCUGGACAAGCAGAACAGACAAACUGGAUGAUUGCCCGGUGUGCUACAACAAAGGCAGAGAAAGAAGGAGCCUCUGGUAUCAUUCAAGUGCUGGACUGUUUUUUUCAGUCUCAACCAGAUGAACCAGGUGCUCUUCGAUCUCUGAGCCUUCUAAUGAUCUUGCAAUGAUACUGACUCUUUUGUCUCCCGGUUGGAAGAAUCGUCCGUUUGCCUUGCAGCAGGAGAAGAGUUCGGUUCUAAAUUUGGGAUGACUUGUUCAAAAGCUACUUUCGUUUCACCUCUGAGCUACAGUCUGCCCUUUAAAUUCUGAACAUUUAUUUUGAUUUUUGUGAAGACUGAAUGUCUUCUGACAUGAGGAAGAGGGUCAUAUAUGAGCAUUAAUUAAAUUAAAUUGUAUCUGGGAAGUUUAGUCUUGUUUAAUGGCUUUGUUCAGUUAUUCUACCUGUUCAUUAUCUUUACAUAAACAUUAAAAUCAUACAAUCAUUAAAUUUUCUCUUCUAAAAUAAAGGAAAUUCUUAUAAGAAAU
rnacentral:lncRNA from 1 species